AUGGGGAACAAGGCAGGGAGGGGAGAGAGGCCCGGGCGGUGUGUAUGCGCCUUUGUUUAAUUACACUGUUUAACACACUGAGAAUAAUUUAGCCAUCCAAGUGGAGAAAAUAAGGGACUUAACCGUUCCCUGGUGGCAACGCUCCACGGCUCACCGUCGGCUGUUUCUGCCUCCUCGGAGUCUCUCACGCACCUUCGGGAUUUCUCUCUGACCGCGGGGAAGGAAGUGUUUGCGGGAGGAACGUUGAGUUUGGACACUCACCCACCUCGAGUUCAAGGGACAGAGAGGCUGCUCCGUGAGAGAUGGAGUCUCUGGUGCGCGACUGAGGAAUGGACCGUCUUCCGGAGACCCAAGGGAGAAGCCGACGUCGGAUCGGCCUCAAGUGACUGGCGGAAGCCAAUGGUAGGAGAUGCGGUGCCAUGUUGGGUCAUAGUUCAACUCCUUCUACUAAGGAUUGAUAGAAUGCCCAGAUGCAUUAUUAAUCCAAUCAAGCACCUUUUGUGCAAAACACAUCCUCACUUGUGGCCCUUCCAACCCUGUCACCUGUUCUCCCAGCCCUCAGCACCCCCAUAAUUUAUUGUCUCCUCCUUGGCUUCUACAUUCUUUUUCUCCUCUCAUAACCUGCUCUCCAACCCUCUUUCUGCCCUCAACUACUCAACCGAAGGUGUGUAUUUCAAGAUGUCACUUUUUUUUUAGUUGGACUGCAUACACACCCUCACCUGAGAUCUGCAGGAUACUCCUUCCACUGUUUUGAUAAAACAAUGUAAAAAUAUCUCUCCAGCAUAUUUGCUUUAUAUCUUUUCCCUCUCCCAGCUUUCGAAGACUAAACCCAGUGUUGACAAAGGGAAUUAGCUUAGCCUUUCCCUAUAACAAUUGAGACAAUAGGCUCUUGUAUUAGGGGAAACAUGAAUAUGGAAGAUAUUUGCAAUGUAAUUAAAUUGCCCAUCCAAUAAACCACAAGUAUAUGGUCAUAUUCCUUCAGUUGGGAUACUUGAGUC
rnacentral:lncRNA from 1 species